AACCAUAGAAACCUGCGGAGUACCUGCGGAAGGAUCAUUACCGAGUUUACAACUCCCAAACCCAAUGUGAACGUUACCAAACUGUUGCCUCGGCGGGAUCUCUGCCCCGGGUGCGUCGCAGCCCCGGACCAAGGCGCCCGCCGGAGGACCAACCAAAACUCUUUUGUAUACCCCCUCGCGGGUUUCUUUAUAUCUGAGCCAUCUCGGCGCCUCUCGUAGGCGUUUCGAAAAUGAAUCAAA
rnacentral:misc_RNA from 1 species